ensembl:misc_RNA Y_RNA Y RNA
GGCUGAUCCCAAGGUAGUGAGUAAUUUCACUUGAUUAUAGUCAAGUUACAGACUGAACUCCUUGUUCUACUUAUUUCCCCCUUCUUACUACUAUACUUACUAGUUUUAA